rnacentral:rRNA from 1 species
GAUGAACGCUGGCGGCGUGCCUAAUACAUGCAAGUCGAGCGAACAGACGAGAGUGCUUGCACUCUCUGACGUUAGCGGCGGACGGGUGAGUAACACGUGGGUAACCUACCUAUAAGACUGGGAUAACUUCGGGAAACCGGAGCUAAUACCGGAUAAUAUUUAGCUUCGCAUGAAGCAAUAGUGAAAGACGGUUCUGCUGUCACUUAUAGAUGGACCCGCGGUGUAUUAGCUAGUUGGUGAGGUAACGGCUCACCAAGGCAACGAUACAUAGCCGACCGGAGAGGCUGAUCGGCCACCCGGGGACUGAGACACGGACCAUACUCCUACGGGAGGCAGCAGUAGGGAAUCUUCCGCAAUGGUCGAAAGUCUGACGGAGCAAUGCCGCGUGAGUGAAGAAGGUUUUCGGAUCGUAAAACUCUGUUGUAAGGGAAGAACAAGUACGUUAGUAAAUGAACGUACCGUGACGGUACCUGACCAGAAAGCCACGGCUAACUACGUG